GUCUACAUUCAGCGGUAGUGCGGGGUUCGGGGUGUUGGGCCCCUUAUCCGAAGUUCUGAACGUUUCAGAUGAAGUUAUUGUAAACUGCCAAGCGUGUCAGCCCAGUACAGUUGAGAUAUAGUACUAAUAAAAGGGAUUAUUCCCAUUCUGAAGUUUGUAAAGAUGAAGACAUCUAUCGAAAUUGAAUGUGACAGAUGUUGUUUGAGGAAAUGCUUGCAUUUCGCUGAAAUGCCCCCCUGUGCCCGGCGACGCUGGAAUGUGAUAUGAGAAGAAGAAAAAGAGAGAGAGAAUAUGAAAAACAACCUGCUUAUUCUCUCCGCCAAGCAUCUACGUAUGUUAUAUGCUGUGAUGGACAAGAAUCAUAAAACAACGCGAGACAUCAAGAUGUACAUAGAAAUUCAGAUUUAUAAAAAUGUACGUGCAACAGUGCAAUCAGGACAGGAGUUAGCCAACGUCUACCCGCAUCUGAACUUCUCGUAGUAAAGAAUAAGAACAAAGGAGAGUAUUACAUAACUUUGGUACAAUUUGCAUUUUUCGCCCAGUAUUAAAUUAAGAUUCUUUCACGUUAUCCUUGAAAGAAACUCAGUAUUGUGUUAUAUCAUCCAAAAGGACACUCCAAGAGCUUCUAAACAACAUCACUGAAAGAGAAAAUGCAAUAAUUUCGAAACUACAGCAAUUUUUAAUCAAGCCCAGUGAAAAAGAAUGUGUAAUUUUAUCGAAUUUGACUCAUUUAUUUCUAAAAGCAAUUUCAGAAUCCAGUAACACCAAGACACCGUCCGUCCUCAGGAGCGUAUGCAAGUGAUGGCUACCAGAUAUGAAGGUUAGUUGCGAAUGUUUUGAACGAAGAGUCGCGGACAACAUAAUCCAAGACAGCAAUAAAAAAAGUAGCACAUAGAAGAAACGUGGCACAAAAGUUUCUUUGUUUCUUGAGCGACUAUUUAGUUUCUGAAGGAGGACUUUGUUCCAUGCAGUUAAUUAUUUAGUCAAUAAAAAUGCCAGAA